GACGAACGCUGGCGGCGUGCUUAACACAUGCAAGUCGAGCGGUAAGGCCCUUUCGGGGGUACACGAGCGGCGAACGGGUGAGUAACACGUGGGUGACCUGCCCUCAGCUCUGGGAUAAGCCUGGGAAACCGGGCCUAAUACCGGAUAUGACUCCAUGACGCAUGUUGUGGGGUGGAAAGCCUUGUGCGGCUGAGGAUGGGCCCGCGGCCUAUCAGCUUGUUGGUGGGGUGAUGGCUCACCAAGGCGACGAUCAGUAGCUGGUCUGAGAGGAUGAUCAGCCACAUUGGGACUGAGACACGGCCCAAACUCCUACGGGAGGCAGCAGUGGGGAAUAUUGGACAAUGGGCGAAAGCCUGAUCCAGCCAUGCCGCGUGAGUGAUGAAGGCCUUAGGGUUGUAAAGCUCUUUUACCCGGGAAGAUAAUGACGGUACCGGGAGAAUAAGCCCGGCUAACUUCGUGCCAGCAGCCGCUGUAAC
rnacentral:rRNA from 1 species